GACGAACGCUGGCGGCGUGCUUAACACAUGCAAGUCGAACGGAAAGGCCCUGCUUUUGUGGGGUGCUCGAGUGGCGAACGGGUGCGUAACACGUGAGUAACCUGCCCUUGACUUUGGGAUAACUUCAGGAAACUGGGGCUAAUACCGGAUAGGAGCUCCUGCUGCAUGGUGGGGGUUGGAAAGUUUCGGCGGUUGGGGAUGGACUCGCGGCUUAUCAGCUUGUUGGUGGGGUAGUGGCUUACCAAGGCUUUGACGGGUAGCCGGCCUGAGAGGGUGACCGGCCACAUUGGGACUGAGGUACGGACCAGACUCCUACAGGGGGCAGCAGUGGGGAAUAUUACACAAUGGGCGGAAGCCUGAUGCAGCAACGCCGCGUGCGGGAUGACGGCCUUCUGGUUGUAAACCGCUUUCGCCUGUGACGAAGCGUGAGUGACGGUAAUGGGUAAAGAAGCACCGGCUAACUACGUG
rnacentral:rRNA from 1 species